UGGCGGGCUCGGGAGGCUGGCCGGCAGAGGGGCGGCCUCCAUCCUAGCAAGCCGUUUCUCCUCCGUUCAGAGCCCCAAACCGUGCUUCCAGAGAAUUAAAAUGCCUCAUUUAGCUGUGAAGAUCGUGAUUCUGUUAUGGUGUUUCUUCUCAUCCAUUUCAACUGGCUGCUUGUCCCUGUGGGAUGUGCUGAUGUACCACCCAUGAUGUAGAGCCGACUCAAACUCAAAGUAAUGGCCUGCACCUGAAACCUUCUUGAAGAAAAUGAAGCGAAGCAGAUCUACCAGGUUUGUGCUGCCAUGCUUCCGGUGCCAACGUGGCAUGCCCACAAGCCUAACCGUAUGUCCUUGGAAUGUGAGAGGAAACCAGAUACCCAGUGGAAACCCAUGCGUUCACAAAGAGAACAUACCAACUACUUACAGACAUUAGCCAGAACAAACUUUCCACCUGUGCACUGAUCUGAUUAGGAGAGGAGAAGAUUGCGGCGCGACACAGCAAGCGUGGCCACUCCGAAGUGAUAUCGUAUUUGUCAGUAGGUACCAUGCACAUUCCUGAUUUGAUGGAGACGGAUCUGAGAAGCACGGAGGAACAUCUGGAGAAGCUGCUGAAAUGCCUGCUUCACUGCCGCUGCUAUUGUGUGAUCGAGAAUCUCCGGAGGGGAAGGCCCCAAAUCCUCGGCUUUGCCUAUUGCCUGUUGCCGGGGCCGGGGUCGAAGUCGAAGUGCUCAGCAGAGAUGGUGCUUGGUGUUCGAGGGCUGGUCGGAGGCUCGAAGUUUUCGGACGGACUCAAGAGUCGGCUGUGGUCGGGUACUUCCAGGGUGCUGCAUCGGCAAGUUUGCGGCGCUGGAAGCUCAUGGAAGGGAGAGUUUUUCUUCCUUCUACCAUCUGCGUAAGAUGAUGGGACUUUCGAGAGACUUUGAGACAUUUUUUUUACCGUGCUCAUGGUCUGUUCUUUAUCAAAUUAUGGUAUUGCUUUGCAUCGUUGUAACUGUAUGUUAUAAUUAUGUGGUUUUUGUCAGUUUUUCAGUCUUGGUUUGUCUUGUGUUUCUGUGAUAUCAUUCUGGAGGAACAUUGUAAAUGACAGUCAAAGAGGACUGCGUGUCCUCUUAAUCUAAUCUAAUCUAAUGAAUAUUGCUUAUACUUCUUCACCUAGAACUCCAGAAUGCGUCAUUUCAUUGGAUGCUGAGAAAGCUUUUGAUAGAAUCGAAUGGACAUAUUUGUUUAAUACGCUUGAGAAAUUUAAUUUUAGUCCGAUAUUUAUAUCUUGGAUUAAAUUGAUAUACCUUACUCCUUUGGCUCCGAUACUUACCAAUAAUCAGAGAUCUCCCUUUUUUCAGUUAUUCCGUGGUACUAGGCGGGGUUGCCCUCAGUCCAUUAUUAUUCGACAUUGCCCUGGAACCGUUAGCUAUUGCUAUUUGUGACUCACCUAAUACAUUUGGUAUUACCCGUGGGAAUGAGAUACAUAAAUUAUCACUAUAUGCAGAUGAUUUACUAUUAUAUAUUUCUAACCCUGAGAAAUCCAUUCUGGCAGUAUUAUCUCUGUUUACUCAGUUUAGUAGUUUUUCUGGAUACAAAUUGAAUCUUAGUAAGAGUGAACUUUUUCCAUUAAAUAUGCAAGUUCCCAUUUGUAGCUGUUCACCGUUUAGAUUGAUUACUGACUAUUUUACUUAUUUGGGGGUUAAAAUUGCUAAGAGGCAUAAGGAUUUAUUUAAGCUCAAUUUUUUACUGUUAAUUAGUCAGGUUAAACAAUUGCUUACUAAGUGGUCCCCAUUGUCUCUAUCACUGAUUAGCCGAAUCAAUGCUAUUAAAAUGAUUAUUCUACCUAAAUUUCUAUAUCUAUUUCAAGCAGUACCAAUUUUUAUUCCUAAAUCCUUUUUUGAUACUAUUGAUUCUAAAACGUCCUCUUAUAUAUGGCAGAAUAAGAAUCUCAGGUUAAGUAAAAAAUAUUUACAGAAGUCCAAGAAAGAUGGUGGUUUAGCAUUGCCGAAUUUAAGAUUCUAUUACUGGGCAAUUAAUAUUCGAUAUUUAAUAUUUUGGACGCAAGAUUGGGAUAUAAUUCUAAGUCCACAUUGGGUAAACCUUGAAGGUUACUCUGUACGAGGGUUUUCAUUGGAUUCUAUUUUAGGAACUUCACUUCCCUUUGUGCUUUCUAAAUUGAAUAAGCAAAUGGUUAAUCCAAUAAUUAAACGCACAUAAUGAAUAUGGUUCGACUGCCGUAAAUUUUUUGGUUUGAACAAAUUUAUAUCAUCAAGCCCUAUUAUAUCUAAUUUUUUUUCCAACCCUCUGUUAUGGAUCAAGCCUUUUUGAUAUGGAAAAGGAAGGGUAUAAACAUGUUUCCGUGAUUUAUUUUUGAAUAACUGUUUCAUGUCUUUUGAACAGUUGUCUAAUAAAUAUAACUUGUCCAGAUCCCAUUUUUUUAGAUAUUUACAAAUAAGGAACUUUUUAAAUAUCACGCUACCUACCUUUCCAAUUUCAUACUCAGCUGAUAUCACAGAAAAAAUUUUAGGUUUAAAUCCUUAUCAGAAGGGAUUAAUAGCAGCUAUUUAUGAUAUAAUUAUGAAAAUACAGCCUGGUAUAUCUGAUAAAAUUAAAAAUGAAUGGGAAAGGGAACUUCAACUUCACUUACCUGUAGAGAAAUGGGAAAACAUUUUUCAAUUAGUUAGCUCUUCCUCUAUAUGUGCUAAACAUACACUGAUACAAUUUAAGGUAAUGCAUAGGGCCCACAUGUCUAAAGAUAAGCUAGUUCGUGUUUAUUCCCAUAUAAAUCCUAUUUGUGACAGAUGUCACUCUGAAGUGGCUUCUUUGACUCUUAGCCCUCUUUUGGAAAAAUGUUGGAAAGAUAUUUUUGAUACUAUUUCAACAGUUUUGCAUUUUGAUUUACAACCCCAUCCUAUUACGGCAAUUUUUGGUUUGCCAAUGACGGAACAUAGACCUUCAUCCUCUUCAGCCUGUCGGAUGAUCGCAUUUGUUACAUUAAUGGCCAGAAGAUCUAUUUUAUUGAAUUGGAAAGAGACCAAUCCCCCUACUACAUUUCAAUGGUUUUCCCAAACUAUAUCAUGUUUAAAUUUAGAAAAAAUCAGAAGUGUCAUUUUUGAUCCUUCGGUUAAAUUUGAAGAGACUUGGAAGUCAUUUAUUCAACAUCUUCAUAUGAUGUAGUUUGACCUUUUCCGCAUCCGUUUUAUUAACUUAGAAUAUAUGAAUAGAGGAGUGGAGUUGACGACAUUAAUGAAUUAAUUCGAUCUAAUAAGAUAAUAAGAGAAAUAGAUAGAGUGGAUAGCCAGCGCCUCUUCCCCAGGGCACCACUGCUCAAUACGAGAGGACAUGGCUUUAAGGUAAGGGGUGGGAAGUUCAAGGGGGAUAUUAGAGGAAGGUUUUUUACUCAGAGAGUGGUUGAUGCGUGGAAUGCACUGCCUGAGUCAGUGGUGGAGGCAGAUACACUAGUGAAGUUUAAGAGACUACUAGACAGGUAUAUGGAGGAAUCUAAGGUGGGGGCUUAUAUGGGAGGCAGGGUUUGAGGGUCGGCAUAACAUUGUGGGCCGAAGGGCCUGUACUGUGCUGUACUAUUCUAUAUGUUCUAUGUAAUAUAUUGAUUCAGCCUUGUUUUGUUCUGUUUGGAGUUUUUUUUGGGUCUAGUAAUUUAUUUUUUUUCUUCGCUUUUUUUGUUGUUUUGGAAUUUUUCUUUGUGAUAUCCUUUUCUUUUUAUUUCUUUUUUCUUCAUGAUUAAUUAUAUCAAGAGUUUGGAAGUCUA